GUUCGACGCAGAUGCUGGCUCCUUGAUCUGGGACUCCCCACCAGAACUGUGGCCAGGACACCUCUGUUCACGGUCCUCAGGAGAGAAGAACUGGGCCAAACUUUCAGGAAGAAGCAGUCUUCCCAGACAGAACUGCUGGACCAGAUGUCUUCAAAGAGCUGCUGUUACAGGCGGAGUGCCAAUUUCUGCUCCCGUCAGCACGGUCUGCACAGCUGCAUCACGUGAACCCCUCAGAGGGGGGAGCCAGGACGAGCAGGAGGCCUUGGGCUUCCCGCAAAGUGCCAAAGAAUGAAAUCUGAGAAUCGGGGAAGAGCAACUGGCCACAGAAGCAUCAGUAAAAGUAACGGCAGAGCGGCCGGGCCUGGCAGUGCCGUUGACAGCAAACUGGAAGGCAGUGUGGGAACCACGUGGCUCACUGCGGGUUCAGAUCCCGGGCUGGGCUGAGAAACGGGCGUGCACAUGUGUGUGCCGGGGCCCUGACAAGCUGGAUGGCUGUGGGGUAACGAGACCCUGUUGAAGGUGUCCUCGCUCCUUCAGGUACAUUCACAUACUUCCUAUUACUAAAAUAAGCAAUUCAUAGAAGGCGGCUUUGAAAACGUCUCCAAGUUCAGGAGGUAUAUAUUUAAAACAGACAUACAUGCACAUAAAUAUGUUUGUCUCCCUACAAGAAUCCGA